rnacentral:rRNA from 1 species
CAGUAGCCGCGGUAAUACGAAGGGUGCAAGCGUUAAUCGGAAUUACUGGGCGUAAAGCGCGCGUAGGUGGUUCAUUAAGUUGGAUGUGAAAGCCCUGGGCUCAACCUGGGAACUGCAUCCAAAACUGGUGAGCUAGAGUACGGUAGAGGGUAGUGGAAUUUCCUGUGUAGCGGUGAAAUGCGUAGAUAUAGGAAGGAACACCAGUGGCGAAGGCGACUACCUGGACUGAUACUGACACUGAGGUGCGAAAGCGUGGGGAGCAAACAGGAUUAGAUACCCGCGUAGUCCCUGUCUCUUAUAA